AGGCACUUAUGACAAGGCGGAAUGCGAGUCGGCUGUGGACACCACGGAGCUGUGGGCGGCGCUGCUGCGGGUGCAGCUGGAGGUGUGGCAGCAGAACAGGGACGUCCUGCGUGAGCUGCAGCAGCUGAGGAAUGAGGUACGGCAUGAGGCAUGAGCCUGCCUUGUCGACGGUGCCUCCAGUUCUUCCUCGGCUACCUGCCGACAGUAUUGAAGAAUUAGGGGAAGCCGUGCGGGAUGAGGCUGUGGCUGCCCCCUUGCGCAAGCACCUCCUGCAAAUAGGAAGGAAGUCGCUGCGCGAGGUGGCAUCAAAUGCCAUGAAGGCUGUAACGGCGCACCCCGUCCAAGUGCUUUACAGCCUUCAUAGCAGGAAGGGGAAGAGGGCAUUCAUCAAUUUGAAGUUAUGCCGGAUAGUCACAGGUAAAGCUUCCUUAGUCAUCCUUUUGCAUUGUUGAAGUAUUUUGUAUACAGCCGAACAUCUCUACAGCGAAAUGGCUUGCAUAACAAGAGAUUGUCCUUGCCAAAACCCUGUCUUUUAUAUGAAUUGUCAACUUCUACAACGAAGAAAUUUGGGCGUCCCUAUUGGCUGAUUUAAUUUUUUAUUAAGAAAGCCACAUACUCAGCCACCCCUGCCCUUGCAGAAAUUGCAAAAGUGUGCUCUGCACUAGCACCAAUGGCAGCUAAGGUGAAUUGCUUGACGAGCAUGCCGAUGAAUUGCAUCACACCAGGCAGCUUACACGUUUAGCAUCAGCGGGUGAGACAGCUGAAUAUGUCUCGGUUAGUAAAGACAUGGUGUGAUCAUCACUGAUGACGUUAAC